GUCAUUUUUAUACGACCUCAAAAAUUAAAAAAAAUUUGGUCGUAUAUUGGUAUCACGUUGGCGUCGAUGUCGUCGUCCUUAGUCGUCGUUGUCCUUAGCCAUCAUCAUCGUCGUCCGAAGACAUUUGGUUUUUGCACUCUAACUUUAGUAAAAGUAAAUAGAAAUCUAUGAAAUUUAAACACAAGGUUUAGGACCAUAAAAAG
rnacentral:lncRNA from 1 species